rnacentral:rRNA from 1 species
CACGUAGGCACCAAGCGUUGUCCGGAUUUAUUGGGCGUAAAGAGCUCGUAGGCGGUUCGGUAAGUCGGGUGUGAAAACUCUGGGCUCAACCCAGAGCCGCCACCCGAUACUGCUGUGACUCGAGUGCGGUAGGGGAGCGGGGAAUUCCUGGUGUAGCGGUGAAAUGCGCAGAUAUCAGGAGGAACACCGGUGGCGAAGGCGGGUCUCUGGGCCGAUACUGACGCUGAGGGGCGAAAGCGUGGGGAGCGAACAGG